rnacentral:rRNA from 1 species
UACGGAGGGGGCUAGCGUUGCUCGGAAUCACUGGGCGUAAAGCGCACGUAGGCGGCUUUUUAAGUCAGGGGUGAAAUCCUGGAGCUCAACUCCAGAACUGCCUUUGAUACUGAGAAGCUUGAGUCCGGGAGAGGUGAGUGGAACUGCGAGUGUAGAGGUGAAAUUCGUAGAUAUUCGCAAGAACACCAGUGGCGAAGGCGGCUCACUGGCCCGGUACUGACGCUGAGGUGCGAAAGCGUGGGGAGCAAACAGGG